GAUGUUCACCAUGACAAAAACCUCCUCACUGCUCACACUCACUUCUGCUUUCACACAACACGAGAAACAACAAAAACCUGAACUUCAAAUCACUGGAACUGAAGUGGAAACUUACUUGAUGUUCACUGAAAACAAUUUGAAUUCUUCACAGAAGAAGAUCACAGCCAUGGGCUGAUACGAGUGCAGCUGUUCUUUCCACUCGUCUGAUUGGCUGAGAGCUUUCCCAGGCCCCGCCUCUGAGGCUUUAUGUAAGCUGACUCAGGUUCUGUUCUUCACUCUGCUGAUCACACUGCCAUCAUGCUGCUCAGCAUCUGCACUCUGCUCCCUGCUCUGGCAUUGGUCAGUUCACAGAAAGUGGUGACGCAAAAGCCUUCGGUUCGAACACAGGAGAAGGGAAACACCGUCACUAUGGACUGUAACAUCGCA